GGCAGUGUGUGUGUGAGAAGUUGCCAAGAUCUGUGAUUUUUCUGAGUAGAUCUGUUGGUGGGGUUUGUUGAAAAAGAUUCAAUUUUGAUCUUGUUUAGAGAAAAGAUGAAUAUAUUCAGGCUUGCUGGGGAUAUGACCCAUUUGGCUAGUGUUCUUGUUUUGCUUCUCAAGAUCCAUACUAUUAAAUCUUGUGCUGGUGUUUCUCUGAAGACGCAAGAGCUAUAUGCUCUUGUCUUUGUUACUCGCUACUUGGACAUAUUUACAGACUUUAUUUCACUAUACAAUACUACAAUGAAGUUGGUUUUCUUGGGAAGCUCUUUGUCAAUUGUGUGGUACAUGAGGCAUCACAAAAUUGUUCGGAGAUCUUAUGACAAAGACCAAGAUACUUUCCGUCAUGUUCUCCUUGUGGUUCCUUGCCUUGUAUUGGCUCUUGUUAUACAUGAAAAGUUUACCUUCAAGGAGGUAAUGUGGACCUUCUCCAUAUUCUUGGAAGCUGUCGCUAUCCUUCCUCAGCUUGUCUUGUUGCAGAGAACAAGAAACAUAGACAAUUUGACUGGACAAUACAUUUUACUCUUGGGCGCAUAUCGGUCACUUUACAUCUUGAACUGGGUAUACCGCUACUUCACAGAACCACACUUUGUACAUUGGAUAACCUGGAUUGCAGGCCUCAUUCAGACGUUGCUUUAUGCUGAUUUCUUCUAUUAUUACUUCCAAAGCUGGAAGAAUAACACCAAACUCGAACUUCCUGCCUGAGCUCAUAUAGAAGUAAACAAGAGCUGGCUGAAGAAUGAUCCCGAUGAACGUUUAUAGGCCAGGGUUAUUCUCUGCCCCGUCCCCGCGGCUGGGUUUUCCUUCUUUUGUUGGCUAUAACUAGGGCAAGAGUAAGAAAAACAUGAUACGAAUCAUAUUUAGAGUCUUGUUUGCAUCAAGAAUUCAUGUCUUUGCUGCUAAGUAGAUUGUUAAAAUGCAUAUUCUUUAUGUAUCAAGAAAACUUUGUGACUUCAUUUUUGUUGUACUAGAGAGAUUUUUGUUUCUUGGACUUCAUAAUUAGUU
rnacentral:misc_RNA from 1 species